GAGCUGGGUUCAGAACGUCGUGAGACAGUUCGGUCCCUAUCUGCCGUGGGUGUAGGAAUAUUGACAGGAUCUGUCCCUAGUACGAGAGGACCGGGAUGGACGAACCUCUGGUGUGUCAGUUGUUCCGCCAGGAGCACCGCUGAUUAGCUACGUUCGGGAUGGAUAACCGCUGAAAGCAUCUAAGUGGGAAGCCCACCUCAAGAUGAGUAUUCCCAUGGGGUAACCCAGUA
rnacentral:rRNA from 15 species